GGGCCCAUAGUGGGUUAUAUUCUGCCUUGAGAUUCUGUGUGGAAGAGCCUUGAGAGAGGGGUCUCAGCCCCCUCCUUGGCUAGAAAGGGAGGGGCCAGGAGGAGCAGAGGAGCGAGGGGGCGUGGCCUAAGACGCCCAAGGCGCUUCAAGCCACGCCCCCUCGGAAUCUUCUCCUCCUCGGGCAGAGCCCCCUCAGCCCCCCCCCCCCCGCCUCUUGUUGGCUCCUAUUCAAAUGUGGGUCAGGGGUGAGAAGCGCGGCGACGUCCCGGGCGGGCAAGAUGGCGCCGCGAGGAAGGCGGUGAGAUGCGGGAGGCGCGGGUAUAAUAAAGGCACCGGCGGCGGGCAGCCAGGAGGGAGACACCGGGGCGGAGGAGGCGGCGAAGGAAGAGCCAGAGCCGGCCCUGGCAGAGAGGAAGCAUGCCAUUCAAAAGGUAAUGGUGCAUGUUGCCCCAGGGAAGAUUCCCCCUGUCGGUAGCUGAGGUAAGUGUGUGUGUGCUGCGAGUUUAAAAUUACUUAUCAGCCGUUUCUUACACCCUUCUGAGCUGGAGGUGCUGGCUGCCAUGUCCCCAGGGUUAUUCUGAUCUGUUACUUUGUGAUACUCUUCAACCACCCCUUUUGCACCCUCGGGCAGAGCAGUUUGGCAGCGGAAGGCGGAAUGUAAAUUUUUGCCUUUUCAACAGG
rnacentral:lncRNA from 1 species